rnacentral:rRNA from 1 species
GAUGAACGCUGGCGGCGUGCCUAAUACAUGCAAGUCGAGCGAACAGACGAGGAGCUUGCUCCUCUGACGUUAGCGGCGGGCGGGUGAGUAACACGUGGAUAACCUACCUAUAAGACUGGGAUAACUUCGGGAAACCGGAGCUAAUACCGGAUAAUAUAUUGAACCGCAUGGUUCAAUAGUGAAAGACGGUUUUGCUGUCACUUAUAGAUGGAUCCGCGCCGCAUUAGCUAGUUGGUAAGGUAACGGCUUACCAAGGCGACGAUGCGUAGCCGACCUGAGAGGGUGAUCGGCCACACUGGAACUGAGACACGGUCCAGACUCCUACGGGAGGCAGCAGUAGGGAAUCUUCCGCAAUGGGCGAAAGCCUGACGGAGCAACGCCGCGUGAGUGAUGAGGGUCUUCGGAUCGUAAAACUCUGUUAUUAGGGAAGAACAAAUGUGUAAGUAACUAUGCACGUCUUGACGGUACCUAAUCAGAAAGCCACGGCUAACUACGUG